rnacentral:rRNA from 1 species
UACAGAGGGGGCAAGCGUUGUUCGGAAUUACUGGGCGUAAAGGGCGCGUAGGCGGCCCGCUAAGUCGAACGUGAAAUCCCCGGGCUCAACCCGGGAACUGCGUCCGAUACUGGCGGGCUUGAAUCCGGGAGAGGUGAGUGGAACUGCGAGUGUAGAGGUGAAAUUCGUAGAUAUUCGCAAGAACACCAGUGGCGAAGGCGGCUCACUGGCCCGGUAUUGACGCUGAGGUGCGAAAGCGUGGGGAGCAAACAGG